UGAGGAAUAUUGGUCAAUGGGCGAGAGCCUGAACCAGCCAAGUCGCGUGAAGGAAGAAUGUCCUAUGGAUUGUAAACUUCUUUUGCAGGGGAAUAAAGUGCACCACGUGUGGUGUUUUGUAUGUACCUUGCGAAUAAGGAUCGGCUAACUCCGUGCCAGCAGCCGCGGUAAUACGGAGGAUCCGAGCGUUAUCCGGAUUUAUUGGGUUUAAAGGGUGCGUAGGCGGACUGAUAAGUCAGCGGUGAAAGUUUGCAGCUUAACUGUAAAAUUGCCAUUGAAACUGUCAGUCUUGAGUGCAAAUGAGGUAAGCGGAAUGUGUUGUGUAGCGGUGAAAUGCUUAGAUAUGACACAGAACACCGAUUGCGAAGGCAGCUUACUAAGAUGUAACUGACGCUGAGGCACGAAAGCGUGGGGAUCAAACA
rnacentral:rRNA from 1 species